rnacentral:rRNA from 1 species
UAAUACAUGCAAGUCGAACGCACUCUCGUUUAGAUUGAAGGAAGCUUGCUCCUGAUUGAUAAACAUUUGAGUGAGUGGCGGACGGGUGAGUAACACGUGGGUAACCUGCCCUAAAGUGGGGGAUAACAUUUGGAAACAGAUGCUAAUACCGCAUAAAACCUAACACCGCAUGGUGUAGGGUUGAAAGAUGGUUUCGGCUAUCACUUUAGGAUGGACCCGCGGUGCAUUAGUUAGUUGGUGAGGUAAAGGCUCACCAAGACCGUGAUGCAUAGCCGACCUGAGAGGGUAAUCGGCCACACUGGGACUGAGACACGGCCCAGACUCCUACGGGAGGCAGCAGUAGGGAAUCUUCCACAAUGGACGAAAGUCUGAUGGAGCAACGCCGCGUGAGUGAAGAAGGUUUUCGGAUCGUAAAACUCUGUUGUUGGAGAAGAAUGUAUCUGAUAGUAACUGAUCAGGUAGUGACGGUAUCCAACCAGAAAGCCACGGCUAACUACGUG